rnacentral:rRNA from 1 species
AUUGAACGCUGGCGGCAUGCCUUACACAUGCAAGUCGAACGGUAACAGGUCUUCGGAUGCUGACGAGUGGCGAACGGGUGAGUAAUGCAUCGGAACGUGCCCAGGAGUGGGGGAUAGCCCGGCGAAAGCCGGAUUAAUACCGAAUACGACCUGAGGGUGAAAGGGGGGGAUCGCAAGACCUCUCGCUAUUGGAGCGGCCGAUGUCAGAUUAGGUAGUUGGUGGGGUAAAGGCCUACCAAGGCAACGAUCUGUAGUUGGUCUGAGAGGACGACCAGCCAAACUGGGACUGAGACACGGCCCAGACUCCUACGGGAGGCAGCAGUGGGGGAUUUUGGACAAUGGGCGCAAGCCUGAUCCAGCAAUGCCGCGUGCAGGAAGAAGGCCCUCGGGUUGUAAACUGCUUUUGUCAGGGAAGAAAUCUUCUGGGUUAAUACCUCGGGAGGAUGACGGUACCUGAAGAAUAAGCACCGGCUAACUACGUGCCAGCCGCCGCCGUAACAC